rnacentral:lncRNA from 1 species
AAACCCAACUGGGCUGGGGGUCUGUGAGGGCCAGGAAGGUGGAGGUGUCUCCUGUAGAGAGGUGGUAUAUUCUUGGAGGUGUACGUGCCCAAGGGUAGAGAAGGAUGAAAAAAUGGGAGACACCUCUCCAACCUCGUAAUAUACUGAAGGUUGUUUGCUGGAAGGAAAGAAAAGCACAACAGAGAAGUAAAGGAGUGAGAGAGGGCAAAAGGACAUAUUCUGAGUACAUUCCCAAAGCAAGCAUUUCAAGAAUUUUAAACUACCAUUGUUCAUCAUGAUAGUUAAUACCAGAACGGAAAGACAUGAAGGAAUCAGGAUGCAUAGCAAGAGGAACUUUCAAAUUGACCUUUACCCAAGACUGUAAACUCAAAAUAGGUAAUACUAGGAGUUCCUGGGGUAGCUCUGCAGGUUAAAACCUGACUAGUAUCCAUGAGGAUGUGGGUUCGAUCCCUGGCCUUACUUACUGGGUUAAGGGUCCAGUGUUGCCACAAGCUGAGGCAUAGGUCAAAGAUGCAACUUGGUUCUGGUGCUGCUGUGGCUGUGGCACAGGCCAGCAGGUGCAUCUCCAAUUUGACUCCUAGUCUGAGAACUUCCAUAUGCCACAGGUAUGGCCCUAAAAAGCAAAGAAAAAAAUAACUGAUAACUAAUACUUAUACUAUACUGUCACAAGUCAGAUUAUGUUCUGAGAACUGGACCUAUUUACUUUAUUUAGUCACAAAAUGAUGAUCUGAGAUGCUAUUAUCCCCUUUUUAGAAAUAUGGAAACUGAGCCCAGAAAGGUCCACUGACUUAUCAGGGUCUCUUAGCUACUAAAUGAUGAAGCCAGGAUUUGAACUGAGGUGGUCAGUUCAGCUAGAACCCAAGGCCUCCACCAUUUAUCACUACACUGUGAUUUUGCCGGGGACCGCUACAUACCCAAGUGCUUACAUAUACAGAGAACAUGCUGUAAGGCUAAGAUCUAUUUUGGUACUAGAAAGAAAUUCUGAUUCUGGAGUUAGUUAUUUCUCAUUGAAUUAGUACUGGUGUUGUUAGAAUUUUGAUAGUGUGUGCUUUACAUUUAAAACAAAAAGUAAUAUUAAAAUACUGUUUCCUUCAAAAUAAUACAUACAAACUCUUUUUCUAAUGUUUAUUCAAAGCGACCCAAAAUUUAUAGCCAGUCAAGCAGUAACUUAAAAAAAUGCUAGAAUAUCGAAUCUCUAUUUCUGAGAUUUCUCUCCUUAUUUUCUUAAACCAAAGGCUGUGUCACAAAGUUGGACUGACUGAUGCCUGGGCAUACUUAACACACCCCAGUACAUCCCAGGAGGUAGGAUUCUGACCACUCUGACUUUUCCUGAUAGGUCAGGUGGCCUCUUUCCAAGGGCCAGAGAAUGCACACUGCAGAAUCUGAGGACCAGCUCUGAAAACAUACUUCUGUGACUUCCUGGUUAGCUAUUUGGUGAACUAUAGAUUCCAGAGAUGAUGUUUAAUCUUCAUCUACCCAUGUUCUCCACUGCUCCUCUCUCUUUUCUCCCCUAAUCUUUUAAAUAUACUAACUUCUCCUCACAUGGUUGAAGGGAUAAAGGGAACCUGAGUGAGGAAAGCCCUCAAAGCUGCAAGUGAAAUCACCCUCCCCCCCCACACUGCCACCAUUAGGUCAAGCCACUUAGACUAAUUUUAUAGAAACUGAAGUUAGGUCACAGGCAGAAAAAACAAGAGUAUGGCAAAUGUUCCAUCAUAAAUUUCUGUCAGUAAAUUCUUCAUGCUUGAAAGCACCAACUCAGUUUAGGAGGCUGGCUUACUGAAAGGGAACUACGGUAUUUGGUAUUUAAGAAUCGAGUGAAAUAACUUCCUGCCCUACAUUCUGGCUUUGAGAUAACUGAAGUGAAUCAUACAUUAGGAAUGAGAAAUGAAAUUUCCAAAAUGAUGCAUUAAAAACGCAAUUCAUCCAGAGGAAACAAAAUCAUCUCCAUCUCCUGUUUUGUCUCCCCCUCAUGGGGCUGAACCCAGCACACGACCAUGCUCCUCCCAUUACCAGGCAAUGGCAAAUCCUUGAACUUUCCUUAGUGUUACAGUGAUUGAGAGGCACUGCUGGCAUUUAAUGAAUGGCAGCCAGUGAUGCUACAUGUCCUGCAAUGUGCCGUAGACGGGUGCUGCACAGUGGAGAAUUUUCUAACUGAAAUAGCACAACAGCAUCCUUAUUGAAUACUGCUACAGUAGACAGCUGCCUCACCAUCUCUCAGAGCCUCCAGUUUCUAACUGUUUACUUGUCUGGAAUUAACAAAUUAGCUCUCUGUGUUAGAACAUCACAGUAUCCUCCUUAUUUUCUAAUUAAGAGGAAAGACUAUAAUUCAACUACCCCGUCCUGUUGAAAGGGAUCAAAGAGAUUACUUAAGUGAUGGGUACAUCUGGUGGAUAGAGAAUAACAGGAGAAAAUCGUUAAGUACAAGUAAGAACCAUGGAAUUCUGUGACAUAGGAGGAAAUCCAGUGGUUGGAUCUGGAAAAGAGGCAAUGGAUGAAAAGAAGCAUGUGGGCCAAAGUAGGCUAUCAUAUGUCUCUCCUUCCCAUCUUCCUUUUCUCCACAAAUAGUUAUUGAGUGAUGGCUAUCUUUAAGUGUUGUGUAAUGCACUGUGAAACAAUGGUGAGCAGGAAGUGACAUAAUUUCCAUUCUCACUGAGAAUACGUCCUAUCAGAGGAGACUAAUGAAAUAAUCACACAAAUAAGAUAAUGAAUGAGAGCUAAGGUGAUCAUCUGUGAUCGACAGCUGCAUUGCUUGCAGAUGCAAAGAGUGCUACCUGAGUAUUACCUGUAUCAUAUAGUUCCUGGGUUCUGUUAUUAGCAACUGAGUUGGACCAGCCACUCAAUUUUGAUGAACCCAUUUUUCUAGGCAUGAAUAUGCACAUUGUUUUGGAUAUCAAUGUGAGCUCUACGCAGCUAGGACAGAACUUUGGCAGAUUUUUCAGAUUUUAAGCUUGACUCAUUUCAGCUCAGGAUGAGUCAUCAGGGAUGAGUGACCCUACUUCCUGAUACAGUCUUAAUGAGCUCCUCCCACAGAGAGGCCAUAGCACUCCUAACACAGGUACUCUUGCAAUCCCACAUGGGGCUUUCAUGAGCAGUCAACAUCAUUAAACUAAUCUCACAAAUGAUUAUAGAAUGCAGACUUUUUCCAUAUUUAAGACCAAGUAAAAAUGAGUAAACAGCAGCCCUUGCCUGUGAGGGGCUUCAGCUGGAGAAGAACAUAUAAUCAUACAACUUGAUGUGUCACAUGUCAUGGGACCAUAGAGGAAGAGGUUGUUUACUCCUUCAUUGUGCUCUGAGGUAUCUCUGGCUGGUUCCAAAAGUAGCACGACUGGAGAUGGAGAACUUGACUCUGAGGCAUUCCUGAAAGAGAUAUUUAAUGUAGGAUAGACCAUCCCACAACCAAAAUCUCUCACCUUUUAACUGAGCCUGGAUUCUCCAUGAUGUUUCUUGUUCAAACCUAAGUAUCCAGGGCUACCUUUUAGGACAGUUUAACUCAGGUUAGCUGAAUGAGGAGUUGGGAGACUUCCCUGCAUGUACCUGAGUGUGGCUGUAACUUUCUCUUAGAAACCUUAUGAAUACUGACUGCCUCCACUCCCAGAUCCUUCUACUCCAGCCAACACAAACUCAUCAGUAUAGCUACUGCUCCACAGAAUAUGGAGUUUGGGGAUGGCAGAGAACACAAUGCUGCCAUCCCAGGAAGUAUGAGUUCAGAGUGGUCCUCCCUCCUCAUCUUCAGGUCCCCAGGACACUGGAGCCUAACCCUAGAGUCGCUACUUUAUAAAUAUUUCCCCAGUCCCCCUCCUCCUUUCCAUCCCCAUGGCCACUAAGGUAUUCAUGCAGUAGGCUGAGUAGGCUGUUCCAAGAACUCGAUGCCUUGACCCUUUCAGUCUAACUUCCACAUUACCACCAAUGAUCUUUGACAAAAUCAAAUCUAACCAUGUAUUCUAUUGCUAUAAACUAUUUCAUGACUAUCAUUAGAUAGAAAGAACGGCUUUCUCGCUAGAAACAGUAAAAACUGAACUCCUUGGUUUGAAAAAAAUUGCUUUAAUAGUUCACCUAUCUUCUCCUCUUUAAAAAAUUCUACAGAAUCCUUUAUAGGAUCUACAGAAUCCUUUUCCCCACUCUGCCAUAUUCACCCUUCCUCAAACAAGCUCUGUGCUUUUUUGAAUCUGUGCUUUUAUAUUUACCACUUCCUUCACCAAAAAUGCUCUUUUCCACCAUCUGCACCUGGAACUUUUUCAAAAGUCCACUUGCCUGAAAUCUUUGGGCAGAAAUAUCUAUUGCGUCUGUAGUCACCUAACUCUGUGCAUGACUGUCUUCUUUACACAAUGAAUUAGUAAUUGUGUGAGUGCACUAUGUGGUAAGAACACAUUAGUGAACAGAAAAAGAAGAAACUCAUUCCCACAAUCACGGUGCUUACCUGGAGAAUACAAAGGAAUGUUAGCACUGCUAAAAGUACUAUAAUGGAGAGGCACAAGGCCUCUCAGAAUAAAUCUGUGUGUAAAUGACUUAGGGAGAUCAGGGAAGAUAUUCUUAAAUUAAGGAUUUUUUAGUUGAUAUCUGAGGAGUACAUCAGGCAAAAAGGGAGCAAGACUUGGACUUAGACUAGGGCUCUUUGACACAUUCCAGUCUUUGGACAAUGUUUUAUCAUUCCAUAGCUACAUUUAUAUAAUAAUUGAAGGUGGAGUUCCCAUUGUGGCACAGUGGGUUAAGAAUCUGACUAGUAUCCAUGAGGAUGUGGGUUCGAUCCUUGGCCUAGCUUAGUGGGUUAAGGAUCUGGUAUUGCCAUGUGCUGUGGUGUAGGUCACAGACACAGUUUGGAUCCAGUGUUGUUAUGGUGUAUGCCAGCAGCUGCAGCUCUGAUUUGACUUCUAGCUCAGGAAACUUCCAUGUGCUGCAGGUGC